CAAUAGCGUAUAUUAAAGUUGUUGCAGUUAAAAAGCUCGUAGUUGGAUUUCUGGAGGGAGCGUCGGCCCGUAUUUACGAGUGCGUGACGUCUCUGUCCAUCCUUGCGGGAAGGCACGGCAUUGAUUUGUUGUGUCGGAUCGCAUCAUUUACUGUGAAAAAAUUAGAGUGUUCAAAGCAGGCUUUCGCUUGAAUACAUUAGCAUGGAAUAAUAAGAUAGGACUUUGGUGCUAUUUUGUUGGUUGAGCCUAAAGUAAUGAUUAAUAGGGAUAGUUGGGGGCACCUGUAUUGCGUUGUCAGAGGUGAAAUUCUUGGAUUUACGCAAGACAAACAGCUGCGAAAGCGUCUGCCAAGGAUGUUUUCAUUGA
rnacentral:rRNA from 1 species